AAUUUUUAGAACUUUAAAAGGGUGGACCCAAAACUCAGUUUUUGUUUAUUCCGCUAUUUUGAUUGAUGUUUUUGUAAAGCAGUAAACCUUAAAAACACAUAGAAGCUUUAAGGUGUUUAAGCUAUAAUUUUAUAAAACGUGUUUAAGCUAAAAUAGACUUUUAAGUCUUUUAACUACUAAACUUUCACGUAAAAUGAAACUUUUUGUCAUUUACUGAAUGUGUUAAAUUAUAAAACUGUGCAACAGUUUUAUAAUUUAAGACAAAUCUUAUAUGUUUAAUUGAAAAAGUAAAUAUUUUGAAAAUUAAUUUUGUCUAUAUAUAUAUAUAUUAGAUGUUCAAGAGAUCAGAGCCGAAGAGCUCUUGCCAACGGAAGUAAUGGACAAGCUAAAAAAAUUAGAAGAUUCAGUUGAGAAUCUA